AGAGUUUGAUCCUGGCUCAGAAUCAACGCUGGCGGCGCGCCUAACACAUGCAAGUCGCACGAGAAAGGGAGCAAUCCUGAGUACAGUGGCGUACGGGUGAGUAACACGUGGAUGAUCCACCUCUUUGUGGGGAAUAACCUGGGGAAACCCGGGCUAAUACCGCAUAAGCCCGUGAGGGGAAAGCCGCAAGGCGCAGGGAGAGGAGUCCGCGGCCGAUUAGCUAGUUGGUGGGGUAAUGGCCCACCAAGGCGAUGAUCGGUAGCCGGCCUGAGAGGGCACACGCCACACUGGCACUGCAACACGGGCCAGACUCCUACGGGAGGCAGCAGUGGGGAAUCUUGCACAAUGGGGGCAACCCUGAUGCAGCGACGCCGCGUGAGCGAUGAAGCCUUUCGGGGUGUAAAGCUCUUUCGGCCGGAACGAUAAUGACGGUACCGGCAGAAGAAGCUGCGGCUAACUACGUGCCAGCAGCCGCGGUAAUACGUAGGCAGCAAGCGUUGUUCGGAGUUACUGGGCGUAAAGAGUACGUAGGCGGUGCCGCAAGUCCGGUGUGAAAUCUCCUGGCUUAACUGGGAGGGUGCGCUGGAAACUGCGGUGCUAGAGUGCGGGAGAGGAAAGCGGAAUUCCUGGUGUAGCGGUGAAAUGCGUAGAGAUCAGGAGGAACACCUGGUGUAGACGGCUUUCUGGACCGUGACUGACGCUGAGGUACGAAAGCGUGGGGAGCAAACAGGAUUAGAUACCCUAGUAGUCC
rnacentral:rRNA from 1 species